AUGGGCCACCAUCCCUGUGCCCUGUGCGGACAUCCCCUGUGCCCAGUGUCCUGCAUCUGUCACCAUCCCAGUGUCACCUGUGUGCUGCCAUCUCUGCUGCCCUGUCCCCGUUGUCCCCCCGUGUCCCUCUGUCUCUGUUGCUAUCCCAGUGUCCCCAACUUGUGCUGCCACCCCCGUGCCCCCACCCUUGGGCUGCCAUCUCCCUGUGCUGCCGUGCCCCGUGCCCAGUGUCCUGCAUCUGUCACCAUCCCAGUGUCACCUGUGUGCUGCCAUCUCUGCUGCCCUGUCCCCGUUGUCCCCCCGUGUCCCUCUGUCCCUGUUGCUAUCCCAGUGUCCCCAGCUUGGGCUGCCAUCUCCCUGUGCUGCCGUGCCCCGUGCCCAGUGUCCUGCAUCUGUCACCAUCCCAGUGUCACCUGCGUGUUGCCAUCCCUGUCCUGUGUCCCCUGUGUGCUGCCAUCCCCUGAGCCCAGUGUCACCAGUGUGUUGCCAUCCCAGCUGCCCUGUCCCCGUUGUCCCCCAUGUCCCACUGUAUCCUCCCUCUACUGCCAUCCUCCUGUCCCCCCUUGUGCUGCCAUCCCCGUGCCCAGUGUCCUGCUUCUGUCACUCUCCCAGUGUCACCUGUGUGCUGCCCUAUCCCUAUUGUCCCCCGUGUCAUUAUAUCCUCCCUCUGCCGCCAUCCCGGUGUCCCCUUUGUGCUGCCAUCCCUGUAUCCAGCUGUGUCGCCAACCCUGCCCCGCGUCCCCCUUGUGCUGCCAUCCCGUGUCCCCUUUGAACUGCCAUUUCUGCUGUCCCCCUUAUGCUGUGCUGCCAUCCCCGUGUCCCCCCUUGAGCUCCCGUCCCUGUGUUCCCCCUUGUGUUGCCAUCCCCGUGUCCCCCUCUUUGUGCUGUCAUCCCCGUGUCCCCUUUGAGCUGCCAUUUCUGCUGUCCCCCUUAUGCUGUGCUGCCAUCCCCGUGUCCCCUUUUGAGCUCCCGUCCCUGUGUUCCCCCUUGUGUUGCCAUCCCCGUGUCCCCUCUUUGUGCUGCCAUCCCCGUGUCCCCCGCUUUGUGCUGCCAUUUCCGUGUCCCCUCUUUGUGCUGCCAUCCCCGUGUCCCCCUUGCGCUGCCAUCCCUGCUGCCCUGUCCUCUGUGUCCCUCUGUCCCUGUAUCUUCCCUCUGCUGCCAUCCCGGUAUCUCUCUUGUGCUGCCAUCCCUGCGCCACAUGUCCACUGUGCGCUGCCACCCCGCGUGUCCAGCUGUGCCACCAAAACUGCCCUGUGUCCCCCUUCUGCUGCCAUCCCUGCUGCCAUCCCUGUGUCCCCCUUGUGCUGUCCCGCGUCC
rnacentral:lncRNA from 1 species